ACGGGAGGCAGCAGUGGGGAAUAUUGCACAAUGGGGGAAACCCUGAUGCAGCGACGCCGCGUGAGUGAAGAAGUACUUCGGUAUGUAAAGCUCUAUCAGCAGGAAAGAAAAUGACGGUACCUGACUAAGGAGCCCCGGCUAACUACGUGCCAGCAGCCGCGGUAAUACGUAGGGGGCAAGCGUUAUCCGGAUUUACUGGGUGUAAAGGGAGCGUAGACGGUAAGGCAAGUCUGAAGUGAAAUGCCAGGGCUCAACCCUGGAACUGCUUUGGAAACUGUCCUACUAGAGUGCAGGAGAGGUAAGUGGAAUUCCUAGUGUAGCGGUGAAAUGCGUAGAUAUUAGGAGGAACACCAGUGGCGAAGGCGGCUUACUGGACUGUAACUGACGUUGAGGCUCGAAAGCGUGGGGAGCAAACAGGAUUAGAUACCCUGGUA
rnacentral:rRNA from 1 species